AGUUCUGUGAACUGGAUCAAAAGAGAUUCCUAAUUCAUACCCUCUGCAACAAAGGAAGCAGCACGUUCCCUCACCUGACUGAAGGCAGCAACAUGUGCUGAAAUUGCCAAACUAAUUUGAGAAGGCCUAUUUCACUUUGAAUAAUCUAUAAGAGGAUAUAGGGCUACUUCCUUACCUACUGGAAUUGCUUUUUUUGGUCUACAGCUCCCUAAUAGUAGUCGUCUCUGGUUUCAGCUUCAGCAAUCCCUGGAGUGGUGCCGGUACGAUCCAGCACCGUUCCCCAUUUAAGAGCCUGGAGCUAACAAGCGGUUUGCCAAGUCCACACAGCCCAGUGCUGCUCAGCACUACUGCGAGGCAUCGGCACCGGACUUGGAGAGACCCUGAGAGAGCGGAGGAAAGAACAGCCGAGGAGCUGGGGAAGAGCCUGGGAGCAGGCUCGGGGUUGUGUUGAUGUGCGACGCUGGAUGGAGCCGGGGCUGAGUAAAGGGCUGGGUAGUCGCACUUCGAACUGACCCAAACGGGGCAGGGAGAAUUAAAUCUGCUCUCAAACCUCCCGGUUUAUCCGAGGUCUGACACACGGUUUCCCGACAGUUCCGCACAGCAGCCACUGCGUGGCAGGAGAGAUCAAGAGGACGGUUUUAUUUUCCGCGGCGGGCAGGAGGGGAGGGGUGCAGAGCGCGGCUGCCGGCAGGGGAUGGGCGCCAUCUUGUCUCCCUGCGGCGGGCGGGCGGCGUGUUGGGACCCGCGGGCCGGCACAGCCGGGCAGGAAAGCACAGCCCGCCGAGCAGCGGGUGUGCCGCUGGCUGCUGUUCGUCACCGCUGAAGGGGAGAAAGGACCCGGGGAAGGCAGCUCGUACUUAACGGGCAGAGGCCAAGGCUGGCGCUGCCCGCCCGCCACAGAGCGCGCUGCCCGGGGCAGCUCCGCCAUGGAGCGUUCGGGCUGCGGGCCCGGGCGAAGCUGGCUCUGAGCAGAUGGAGCUGCCAGGACGUGGAUGUGCAGGACAGCUGGGCAGAAGAGUCAAAGCUGAAUUUAAAAUUAAUCCCCUGAAGUGCAGAUAAUAAAUAAACUCCAGAUAAUAAAUAAACUCUCGCUGCGCCGGCUUUCCCCCCUCUUGCAAUCCGUUGUUCCUUAGAAGAAGCGGAAAACUUGUUGAUCUAUAUUCACAGCAGAGUAGGGAGAUGUAUUUGUAGCAAGUACUAGAUUUUCUGAAAAACAUACUCUCAGAACAUCAGUUAUUAGCAAAGUCAUAUGCCACUUUAAAGUUUUCUUGAGACCCAAAACCAAUACAGACAAGGUCUACGCAUGUUGUUGCUGCAAAAUCGGGACAAAACUAUAGUUUUAAAAUUAUAUUUGUAUUUAAAAUUUGAUUUUCUGGAUGAUGCGUAAAAGGAAGUAAAAAUAAACUCUUUUGGAUUGACUAAAAUGUUUGAAGUUCUACCCAAACCAAAAUUCUUUUCCAUUUAUUUAGCUUGGCCACCGAAGUGAGAAGCUAGUAUGUGAUUAUCCACACACAACAGCAAAAAAGAUAUCUGAAGGACAAACAAGGUUUUAAUUAGCUCCACUUCAGUAUUUAAGAUUGAUGCUGAAAGGAAUUACUGUCAGAAUAUAAAAAUCUAGGUGAGGUGUUAAAUAAAAAAUGCCAUUUUUUUCAUGUUAAUUUUGAACUAGAUACUAAAAGCUCAGAAGUGAGUCAGGGCCUCUUUGAACUAAGGAUCACAUACAUAUAGAGGAAAGAUGGCACCGGCUGAGUGUGCUUGUAGACAACAGAAAUAAACAUGAGAGUUGGAUCAUGCAAAAUAAAAGAGAAAUAUGAUUGUUUAUGAUGUAGUGUGUGUAAUAAGCUACAGUCUCAGCACAUUUUCUUAAGUAUUGACGUACUGAAAGACAAAACCAUACCAAAACAAUCCAAACCUACAUCACUUAACAGAAACCAUUGUGCCAAAACACACUUCAGGCAAUACCAGACUGUGUUUAGACAACAGCAUUGAACAUAACCAUGGGAACAACUGAUGUUGAAAUCCAAGAAUAUAAAAAAGCAAAAGCACAAAAAUGCUCAUGGAUUUGCAGAAGUUUCAAGAAACAUGAUCCAAAUUUUAAACAAAUAUUUUUGGUAGAAAAUGAAAAUUGAAAAUUUAAGGAAUGCAAAUACAACUAUUCACUCCUUAUUUGCUCACGUGGGAAGUGUUUAGGAGUUCUGUAAUGGAUCUGUGCCUUAUACCUGGUUUGGGGAGGACGUAUGUCUUACAAACCAGUGCUACAUUUCAAUAGCCAAAAUGUUUGUCUCCUGUUUCUCCUGGUACAAUCUCACAGAACUAUGAUAUUAGUCCUGAAAGGCAACAUGGAUAUAGCCUGGCUUUUAUAACACAUAUAGAACGUAUUUCCAGCAUGUGAAUGUGGGCAUUAAUCUCAGUGGCGCUACUUCUUAAAAGAUUUGUCUGAGCUGGUCAGAUAGGGGGACUAUCUGCGUAAUCCUCUUGAGUCCCUCACUUCUGCAAGCAACAGCUUUGCACUGGUUACAGGUUAAACAGGUUUGCAACUAAACAGGAAAGAACUGUGAGAAAGUCUAAUGUUGAUCAACUGAAGAUACUGUUGCUGCAAUAAAUUACUAUGACAGGACUGAUCCUACUUCUUUGCACACCUGAUUCUCUGGGUAAACCUCACGAGAGAAGUGUACGUGGAAUGAGGAAACAAAACCCAUCUGUCACUGGCCAAAGGAGUCAUAAAUGGCCAAGCAGAACAGAAGAUCCUAGAAUAAGGAAGAAAAUGCAAAAGUAAUUCGAAUUUACUGAGUUCGCAAAGAGCUAUUAAUUCAUGUGAUCUUUUUACAUGGUCCUUUUAAAUUGCUAGUUUUUUGAGACUGGUUUUCAUUGUGCACUGUAAGUGAAAAACAGAGAAGCACUUAAUAAACAGUCAUCAGUCUGUAGCAAAGCUCCACUCAUCCAUUCAGUUAUAUCCCAAUUUCGAAGCAGUAGAAUUUGACAGUGAAUCUAUGAAAUAUUGUAAAACCUACUGGGGGAAAAAAAGGGAAAAAGAAAAAAAUCAGUCAUUCUUGUGACUGAUUAUGACAAUGGAAAUAUGAACCAAGCGUGUCAGCUUCCUAAGUUCAUAGCCAGCCAAAAAUGGUAACACUAGGAGGAUGAAUUAGAUGUUUGCAUCUCAGUGAGUUGUUUACAUUUUUCUCUGUAGGUUUCAAAGUCAGUGUUCAUUGCUGAUCUCCAGCGUUGGUUGUUCAAAGAGAGUGUCUUUCAGGAGUUUGUGUCCCAAGACAACCUGUUUCCCUUGAGUAGUUACUUUGUUUGAUUAGUUACUCAAGUUGCUGUUCAAAAGGGAGAAUUGACAAAGCUUGAUUUUAUUUAUGUUUUUUGUGAUUAGGUUGUUUCCUGGAUCAUAUGUUUCAGUAGCACCAGUUGAAAUACUGCUUCAAAUUAGCACUUUGAGCAGGAGCUCCAGGAUCAGGUCUCCACACAGAGCAUUUUUUUCCCCUGCAGACUCAUGUAAACAUAUUACCCAGUGGAUAUGUUCCAGGUACUGGCAUGCUAGGCCACUGUUUUCUCAUAGCAAUAUCUUCCAACUUCAUACAGGUUUUCAAUGUUCCUGCCUUGUCAGCAGCAACAUCUGGCUGUUUCCCGUAUCAUAUCUGAGACACUGAGCUUAUGGCUGAUUAAAGCUAUAUUUAACUGGGUUAAAUAUAUCCUGGAUUGUAAAUAUACUGGUUAAAUACUGGGUUGUAAAAUCUUUACUUUGUUGUGAAUUGUAUAACAGUCAGCAGCAGCUCCAGGUGAAAUUCUCAUGGAUUGGUCAUGGAUGACACGCUAACUAAGCGGGACAGGUAAGAAAUGAGCUAUUUUUUCCUGCAAAAUAGCUGCAGCUCUAUCUAGGCUGAAUGAAAAAAAAGUUAAAAGUGUGUUAUUAAAGCACCUUUCAUAUCAGUCACAAAAAGAACAUGCCCGUAUCACCUGGGAAAGUGAGGCAUUUCCAGGUACCUUGCCUUCCCUAGCCAUUGAAGUAGUUCAUCAGCAUAAAGCAUGACAGCAGCUUGGGAUAUACUGUUCACCUGUCAGGCGCUGAGGAAAUAACUGUUCCUUCCAUCAUAUCUGGAUAUCAAAAUGUCUCCACUAUUAGUUGGUAAAGCUUCAAUUUGAGGACAUAAAAG